GACGAACGCUGGCGGCGUGCUUAACACAUGCAAGUCGAACGGAAAGGCCCUGCUUUUGUGGGGUGCUCGAGUGGCGAACGGGUGAGUAACACGUGAGUAACCUGCCCUUGACUUUGGGAUAACUUCAGGAAACUGGGGCUAAUACCGGAUAGGAGCUCCUGCUGCAUGGUGGGGGUUGGAAAGUUUCGGCGGUUGGGGAUGGACUCGCGGCUUAUCAGCUUGUUGGUGGGGUAGUGGCUUACCAAGGCUUUGACGGGUAGCCGGCCUGAGAGGGUGACCGGCCACAUUGGGACUGAGAUACGGCCCAGACUCCUACGGGAGGCAGCAGUGGGGAAUAUUGCACAAUGGGCGGAAGCCUGAUGCAGCAACGCCGCGUGCGGGAUGACGGCCUUCGGGUUGUAAACCGCUUUCGCCUGUGACGAAGCGUGAGUGACGGUAAUGGGUAAAGAAGCACCGGCUAACUACGUGCCAGCAGCCGCGGUGAUACGUAGGGUGCGAGCGUUGUCCGGAUUUAUUGGGCGUAAAGGGCUCGUAGGUGGUUGAUCGCGUCGGAAGUGUAAUCUUGGGGCUUAACCCUGAGCGUGCUUUCGAUACGGGUUGACUUGAGGAAGGUAGGGGAGAAUGGAAUUCCUGGUGGAGCGGUGGAAUGCGCAGAUAUCAGGAGGAACACCAGUGGCGAAGGCGGUUCUCUGGGCCUUUCCUGACGCUGAGGAGCGAAAGCGUGGGGAGCGAACAGGCUUAGAUACCCUGGUAGUCCACGCUGUAAACGGUGGGUACUAGGUGUGGGGUCCAUUCCACGGGUUCCGUGCCGUAGCUAACGCUUUAAGUACCCCGCCUGGGGAGUACGGCCGCAAGGCUAAAACUCAAAGGAAUUGACGGGGCCCCGCACAAGCGGCGGAGCAUGCGGAUUAAUUCGAUGCAACGCGUAGAACCUUACCUGGGUUUGACAUGGAUCGGGAGCGCUCAGAGAUGGGUGUGCCUCUUUUGGGGUCGGUUCACAGGUGGUGCAUGGCUGUCGUCAGCUCGUGUCGUGAGAUGUUGGGUUAAGUCCCGCAACGAGCGCAACCCUUGUUCACUGUUGCCAGCACGUUAUGGUGGGGACUCAGUGGAGACCGACGGGGUCAACUCGGAGGAAGGUGGGGAUGACGUCAAGUCAUCAUGCCCCUUAUGUCCAGGGCUUCACGCAUGCUACAAUGGCUGGUACAGAGAGUGGCGAGCCUGUGAGGGUGAGCGAAUCUCGGAAAGCCGGUCUCAGUUCGGAUUGGGGUCUGCAACUCGACCUCAUGAAGUCGGAGUCGCUAGUAAUCGCAGAUCAGCAACGCUGCGGUGAAUACGUUCCCGGGGCU
rnacentral:rRNA from 1 species